rnacentral:rRNA from 1 species
UACAGAGGUCCCAAGCGUUGUUCGGAUUCACUGGGCGUAAAGGGUGCGUAGGCGGUCGGGUAAGUCUGAUGUGAAAUCUCACAGCUUAACUGUGAAACUGCAUUGGAUACUAUCCGGCUUGAGGAAUGGAGGGGAGACUGGAAUACUUGGUGUAGCAGUGAAAUGCGUAGAUAUCAAGUGGAACACCAGUGGCGAAGGCGGUUCUCUGGGCCUUACCUGACGCUGAGGAGCGAAAGCGUGGGGAGCGAACAGG